CCAAGCGCGACGAGCUGCUGGAGUUCAUCCGCCAGUGCGGCAGCUUCGACCCCGCAGCGACGAGCGGGGAGACAGCAGCCAGGCGGUGAGCCGGCACUACCAACAAUCGCCCAAGCUCUGCGGUUCUCUUUACAUUCCCAUAUUUGCAGCCACUUACUGAGUGUUUACAUGUGGGGGGAAACCAGUACACUCGCAGAAAACGUACGAAUGUGCGCAUGGGGGCAACGUUCUAUCCCGUGCAGAUGGAAAGGAUUCCACAAUUGUGUUCCACUGCCUCCUGGCAAGCCAGGGUAUGACUCAUCCUCGAUCUCCACCGGAACCAGAAUCAGAAUCAGAAAGGGUUUUAUUCGCCAUGAAAGUUCGCACAGACAAGGAAUUUACUUUGGCUGGAAGGUGCAUACAUUCAACAUUUAGGAAUCUUAAAUCUUAAAUAAGUGGUUUACAAGUCUAACUAUACUAAAGGUACAAGUCUAACUAAUACUAAGGAGCUAAAGUAUGUAAAAAUUGAAUAAAAUAAAAUCUAAAAUAUACAAUAGCUAUAAUAUACAAUAUAAAAUUACAAAAAUGCAAAUAGGGUAACAGUGCAAAUAUGGCAGGGUGUCAUUGUGCAGAUAUUGUGUUAAAGUCAGUUUGAGCGUUAAAGUCAGUUUGAGCCCUUGGCCUUGUUGAAGAGGCCAGCAGCGGAUGGGAAGAAACUGUUUUUGUGGCGUGAGGUUUUGGUCCUGAUGGACUGCAGCCUUCUGCCGGAGGGGAGUAGCUGGAACAGAGAGUGUCCAUGGUGGGAAGAGUUGGCCACAAUCUUCCUCGCUCGCCUCAGGGUCCUCGAGGUGUACAGGUCCUCGAGGGUAGGAAGAUUGCAGCCAAUCACCUUCUCAGCAGUACGGAUGAUACGCUGCAGUCUGCUCUUGUCCUUGGCAGUGGUAGCAGCGUACCAGAUAGUGAUGUAGGAGGUGAGGAUGGACUCAAUAAUGGUUGUGUAGAAGUGCACCAUCAUUGUCUUUGGCAGGUCGAAUUUCUUCAGCUGUCGUAGGAAGUACAUCCUCUGUUGUGCUCUCUUUAUGAGGGAGCUGAUGUUCAGUUCCCACUUGAGGUCCUGGGAGAGGAUAGUGCCCAGGAAGCGGAAGGACUCCACAGUGUUGACUGGGGAGUCGCACAGGGUGAUGGGGGUGAGUGGGGCUGUAUUCUUCCUGAAGUACACAACCAUCUCCACUGUCUGAAGAGCAUUAAGCUCUAAGUUGUUCUGGCUACACCAGGUCACCAGGUUGUCAGCUUCCCACCUAUAGUCGACUCAUCCCCACCAGAGAUGAGCCCAAUGAUGGUGGUGUCGUUCGCAAACUUCAAGAGUUUGAGGGAGGGAUGACUGGAGGUGCAGCUAUUGGUGUACAGGGAGAAGAGCAGAGGGGAAAGGACGCAGCCCUGAGGAGAUCCGAUGCUGAUGGACCGGGAGUCAGAGACUUGUGUUCCCAGCCUAACGCACUGCUUCCUGUCAGACAGGAAGUCUGUGAUCCACCUGCAGGUGGAGUUCCACACGGCGAUUCACAGUCCUGCGUGAUAAACUGACUUUUUCAAAUUUGCUUUUGAUCUCCGGACACAAGAUGUCUGCUGUCUGUACCAUGUAUUCUUUUACAAACUUGCCUUCGGAGAAAGUGGUAAUGAGUGGUAAUGUUGGUGAGAAGAAGUUUUUAAAGAAAAUUUAAAUCGAAGUGAAGAAGGAAAUUAUUGAAAAGUUUGUAUAAUUAAUGAUUUUUCAAACUUUAAUUAUGUUUUCUGUGCUUAAAACUCUUUAAAAAAAACUGUGGGGUCUAGAACAGACUCGUGAAAUUCGGAGAGAACUCGGAGUUAAGUUUUGUUUCUUUUGUUGAAUUACACAAAGCGUAACAGUUAUGUAUAUAACUUUUGUUAUAUAAAAUUCCUAGUAAGAUA